CAGUAGCCGCGGUAAUACGGAGGAUCCGAGCGUUAUCCGGAAUUAUUGGGUUUAAAGGGUGCGUAGGCGGAUAGAUAAGUCAGUGGUGAAAGACGGUGGCUCAACCAUCGCAGUGCCGUUGAUACUGUUUAUCUUGAAUAUGGAUGAGGUAGGCGGAAUGUGGCAAGUAGCGGUGAAAUGCAUAGAUAUGCCACAGAACACCGAUUGCGAAGGCAGCUUACCAAGGCAAAAUUGACGCUGAGGCACGAAAGCGUGGGGAUCGAACAGGAUUAGAGACCCGAGUAGUCCCUGUCUCUUAUAC
rnacentral:rRNA from 1 species